ACUGGAGAUGGCGACCGGCGCACGGGUGAGUAACACGUAUCCAACCUGCCGAUAACUCGGGGAUAGCCUUUCGAAAGAAAGAUUAAUACCCGAUGGCAUAAUAGAACCGCAUGGUUUGAUUAUUAAAGAAUUUCGGUUAUCGAUGGGGAUGCGUUCCAUUAGGCAGUUGGUGGGGUGACGGCCCACCAAACCUUCGAUGGAUAGGGGUUCUGAGAGGAAGGUCCCCCACAUUGGAACUGAGACACGGUCCAAACUCCUACGGGAGGCAGCAUG
rnacentral:rRNA from 1 species